UGACCAUAUCACAGCACGGUGUACUCCUCUUGCCGUAUUCAGAGGAUUUGCCAAUGGGCAGAAACAUUCUCCUCUCCUUAUCUGGAUAUUAGAAACAUUAUCACAGGACCGGCAAACAGCCGCAGUCAUAUCUGACCAUACCACAGCACGGUGUACUCCUCUUGCCGUAUUCAGAGGAUUUGCCUAUGGGCAGAAACAUUCUCCUCUACUUCUCUGGAUAUUAGAAACAUUAUCACAGGACCGGCAAACAGCUGCAGUCAUAUCAUGAAGAAGAUGAGACUCAGAGCAAUACAUAAGUUGCCCAAGGUCAGAGCGCAAGUAAGUACCAGAAAUAAAAGCCAGAUAAAUCUAAUUCCCAUAUCCUUGCUC